GCCCCUGGUAUCUACUCCUCCACAGAGAUGCUAGACUUCGGUACGCUACGGUCACAAGAUCGGCCGAAACAGUUGAACUUACAUCUACUGAAUUCGGGAACGAAAGAUGUUUUAAUCACGAGUAUACGGACGACGCCAUCCAACGAAGCGGUUACGAUCAAUUUCAAAGCAAUCACACUAAAAGCAGGAGAGAGUAGAUAUACCAAAGUUGCAAGUAUUCGUUUUGAUGCAUCAAAAGCAGAAAGACCAGUUCAGUUUUCUGGUAAAAUAACGUGAAGGUUAAGGAGAGAAACUCGUCUAAACUUGAAGUCCCAUACCACGCGGAGGUGCUACAAGGGUAGGAGUUUGAUUUGAUCAGUUGUUUUUUUGAACAUUUACACGAUUUGAAACAUUCAUGAUGUGUUUAGAUGGUGGUUCAUUCAUGAUUGGUUAGAUCAUAGUUCUGUGAUCAUAGUGCUGUCUUGGUUAGACCAUAGUU